UUUGUUACUCGGGAUUUUUUCCCGACCCUCUCCUUGGGUGUUUGAUCGAUCGAACUUGUUAGUUCCAAGCGCUCCCGUUAGCCCACCGUGACCCCGAAUCUGCUGGAGUCCACUCCUCCGUCUUUCCCCAUUCUGGAUCUUUCCUUUUUGGCGCUCUUCGCCGUCUGUCUCACUCUACCGACUGCUCCUCCUUUGCUCUGCUAGCAUGUUUCAAUCGUGAUCUUCCCCUCUUUGCUCUGCAUCGCUGCGCGUUUGACCUGUUUCAAUCGCACUAAAAAGCUUCAAUUUUUGUCACUAUCUUUCGACGUUUUUUCUUCAUCUCCUUUCCUCUGUUGAACCCCUUCGCAGACCUCUCAAUUUUAAACUCUCCAAUCCGAAAGUGCGAGGCUUCAGUUCAUAGAUGCGGAGGAUCUGCAAGUUUCUAGCCUCGCAUAGUCGUCUUCUGCGAUCAUGUGAGUGAGGCUAGGUACUGGGUCCGUUCUAAUCUAGGUCUUGAGUGCCCCGAGCGCUUCCUUGGGUGGGUACUGAAAUGGUGAGUCCCCCGAGUCCGAAUGUUUCUUCGAAUCCGCCAACUCAACAAGGGAAUAAGUAUGGGAUCACGAAACCCAUCUCUCUUGCCGGUCCCACGGAGACUGAUAUCUAUCGUAACAUACAAUUGGAGAAGUUUUUGGUUGAUGCCGGGCUAUACGAGAGCAAAGAAGAAGCUGCAAAGAGAGAGGAAGUUUUAUCCCGCCUCGAUCAGAUUGUAAAAAGCUGGGUGAAGCAGUUGACCCGUCAACGAGGCUACACUGACCAGAUGGUGGAGGAUGCAAAUGCUGUCAUUUUCACAUUUGGUUCUUAUCGGCUUGGGGUACAUGGACCUGGAGCUGACAUAGACACCCUUUGUGUUGGCCCUUCUUAUAUAAAUCGAGAGGAAGACUUUUUUAUCAUUUUGCACGACAUCUUAGCUGAUAUCGAAGAAGUCACUGAACUUCAACGAGUUGCUGAUGCUCAUGUACCAGUAAUGAAGUUCAAAUUUCAGAGCAUAUCUAUCGAUUUGCUUUAUGCUGGUAUAUCUCUUUUGGUUGUCCCAGAAGAUUUGGAUAUCUCUAGUAUGUCUGUGCUGUGUGAUGUUGAUGAACCUACUGUUAGAAGUCUUAAUGGCUGCCGAGUGGCAGAUCAAAUUCUUAAACUUGUUCCCAGCGUUGAGAACUUUCGAACCACCCUGAUAUGUUUGAAGUAUUGGGCUAAAAGGCGUGGUGUUUAUUCAAAUGUUACUGGAUUUCUUGGUGGCGUUAAUUGGGCUCUUCUAGUUGCUCGAGUUUGCCAGCUUUAUCCUAAUGCAAUUCCUAGCAUGUUGGUUUCUCGGUUUUUCAGAGUAUAUACACAGUGGCGGUGGCCAAACCCUGUGAUGCUAUGUCCUAUAGAAGAGAAUGAUCUGGGUUUUGCUAUAUGGGAUCCUCGUAGGAAUCCCCGGGACAGGUUUCAUCAUAUGCCAAUAAUUACUCCUGCAUACCCUUGCAUGAAUUCCAGUUAUAAUGUCUCUAUAAGCACUCUUCGUGUUAUGAUGGAUCAAUUCCAGUUUGGCAACAAGAUAUGUGAGGAAAUAGAGCUUAAUAAAGCCCAGUGGAGUGCUCUUUUUGAGCCAUAUUCUUUUUUUGAGGCGUACAAAAACUACUUGCAAGUUGACAUUAUUGCAGCGGAUGCCGAUGAUUUACUAGCAUGGAAGGGCUGGGUAGAAUCCCGGUUGAGGCUGCUUACCCUGAAGAUAGAGAGGGACACCAAUGGGAUGUUGCAGUGUCAUCCUUAUCCACAUGAGUGUGCUGACACAUCCAAGCCUUGUCCGCAUUGCGCAUUUUUCAUGGGCUUGCAAAGAAAAGAGGGAAUAAGAGGUCAAGAAGGACAGCAAUUUGAUAUACGUGGAACAGUUGAUGAAUUUAGACAAGAGAUAAACAUGUUUAUGUAUUGGAAACCAGGGAUGGAAGUUUAUGUUUCUCAUGUUCGUCGAAGGCAGCUCCCUGCAUUUGUUUUUCCGGGUGGUUAUAAGCGUACUCGAAUGUCAAAGCAUCUGAGUCAUCUGGCUGAAAAAAUGGGCGAGGAUGCCACAAAGUGCUACUUGGAGUCUGCUGAAAGAUGCAUUAAGAGGAAAAAUGAUACUGAAACAGAUGUGAAGCCAAUAAAACGAGAGAAGCAGGCCUCUAUUAGUCCCCAGAGGUUGGAGUCUGCUUCCCCUGCGAAUAGUAAUAGAUCAGGUGGUAUUUCUCAGACGAGUAUUGAUUUAAUUGAAGGGACUAAGAUAAACAAUUCAAUAAACAAGGAUGUAGAUGGAAAUUUGGAAAUUAAGUCACCUGGGAGACAACUAGGAGGUGGAACCGAUACUCUAGGCAGCGUCACACAGAGAAACGAAGCAGGUGUAGUUGAUUCCAAACUUGAUAAGAUGCAAUCAGAAAGUCCUGAAGUUCAGAACGAGAAUGGUAUGAGUGAGGACAAAGCACGGGAUCUGGAUUUAGAUUGUUUGAAACAUGCAGACUAUUUGCCAAGUGCCAGCACCCAGAAUCUCAAUUACGAGGGUGAUGUUUAAGUGGCAGACCCAGAUUCCAUUUUGAAGAGUGGUUGUUUAGAUGGAAAUACAGUAUUUCAAAAUAGCAUGGCUGAAGAAUCAAGGUCCUGCACCACUAUACGUGCUUAACAACCUGACUUGUUUUGUGUAUAGAGGGCUCAGAGAGAAGACCUUCCUUUUUGUUUCAUUUUAUUUGUCCUUUUAUUAUAUUUUUGCAUGCCUGGCAACCCAAUUCUUAUGCUUUCUAUUUUUAUAUUGUGUAUAGCCACCAGAUCCCAGACUCAGAAGUGUUGUAUAACCACAAGAUGGGGCGAGGUCAGAAACUUUGCAGUAGCUAGUGGCAAGGCAUGUUUUUUUAACUCUUUUCAGUGUGAAUUAGUAUAUCUUCAUGCUGUCCUGGUUGGUUUUUGCGUCUUUUUGUAGGAAAUGAGUCUUCAUUGCUGAAUUUGGGCUGUUGCCGCCCCCUGAGAGCAUGGGAGUAGGGGGAUGGAGCUAUGAUGAUCAUUUUUGUACAUAGAUGAGAAGUGUGACGGGGUUACACAAGAUGUCUCGUCAUUUUUAAACCAUGAAACUGGGUUUCAGGUUCAGAGCAGUGACUUGUUUUGUUGUGGUGUUCUUUGAUUUGUUAGAUUUGGAACUUGGUUUGUUGGGUGUGAUGUGGUUGAUGCAUUGUGUAAAUGUAUUUGAAAAAAUUAUGUCAAGGAGAAGCAGACAGGGGACGACAGAAAAUCUCUGGGUGAGGCAUUGGAGGAGCAGAGUUGAGUCACUUGUAGAGGAGGGUCGGGAUUAUCAUUCUGCUUUUGGCCUUGUACUGUUUCGGUUUUUAAUUUAGUGAAGAACAAUCUUGUAAAAUAUUGCUAUAUUUUUCACCAAUAUUCCCUCGUUUAAAAGGAUGGCAGCAUAACGGUCGUC